UGGGGAAUUUUGGACAAUGGGCGGAAGCCUGAUCCAGCAAUGCCGCGUGGGUGAAGACGGCCUGCGGGUUGUAAAGCCCUUUGGGUGGGGAAGACGGUCAUGGGAGCGAACACCUUCGAUGGCUGACGUUACCCACGAAACAAGCACCGGCCAACUCCGUGCCAGCAGCCGCGGUAAUACGGAGGGUGCGAGCGUUAAUCGGACUUACUGGGCGUAAAGCGCGCGUAGGCGGUUAGCUACGUCAGUGGUGAAAGCCCCGGGCUCAACCUGGGAACGGCCACUGAGACGAGUUAGCUCGAGUGCAGGCGAGGGGGGUGGAAUUCCCGGUGUAGCGGUGAAAUGCGUAGAGAUCGGGAGGAACAUCGAUGGCGAAGGCAGCCCUCUGGACUGACACUGACGCUGAGGUGCGAAAGCGUGGGGAGCAAACAGG
rnacentral:rRNA from 1 species